CUCUACAGGCCUUUUUGUCUCAUUGAUGAUGUUGCUCCUGGUCUUCAUGAUAUUUUCCUUUUUUAAGGAGUAUGUUGAUGCUGAAGUGAUAACGCCAUUCUUCACAAAGCAGAAUGUUUUGGCAGGAAGAGAUGUUACACUUUCCUGCAACUACAGCGGCACUGUUCGCAGUUUGCAGUGGUACCGUCAGUAUCCCGGAUCCAAACCUGAAAAUAUAAUUUAUUACACUGAGAGCGACAAUCAGUCAGAGUCCAAGCUUCGUCUGUAUGGUGUGGCCGAUAAAGGAAACAAAAUUAUGAAUCUGACCAUAUAUUCUACUCAAAUGGAUGAUUCUGCUCUGUACUACUGUGCCCUGGUGCCCACAUUGACAGGAAACACAAGAACACUGUACAAAAACAGACAAUCAGGACACAUUGUAAUUACCAAACAAUACCAACACAGUGUAUAA